UACGUAGGGGGCUAGCGUUGUCCGGAAUCAUUGGGCGUAAAGCGCGUGUAGGCGGCCCGGUAAGUCCGCUGUGAAAGCCGAGGGCUCAACCCUCGGAUGCCGGUGGAUACUGUCGGGCUAGAGUACGGAAGAGGCGAGUGGAAUUCCUGGUGUAGCGGUGAAAUGCGCAGAUAUCAGGAGGAACACCGAUUGCGAAGGCAGCUCGCUGGGACGUUACUGACGCUGAGACGCGAAAGCGUGGGGAGCAAACAGG
rnacentral:rRNA from 1 species